rnacentral:rRNA from 1 species
CUCAGGACGAACGCUGGCGGCGUGCUUAACACAUGCAAGUCGAGCGGAAAGGCCCUUCGGGGUACUCGAGCGGCGAACGGGUGAGUAACACGUGAGCAACCUGCCCCAGGCUUUGGGAUAACCCCGGGAAACCGGGGCUAAUACCGAAUAUGACCUCCGAUCGCAUGGUUGGUGGUGGAAAGUUUUUCGGCUUGGGAUGGGCUCGCGGCCUAUCAGCUUGUUGGUGGGGUGAUGGCCUACCAAGGCGACGACGGGUAGCCGGCCUGAGAGGGCGACCGGCCACACUGGGACUGAGACACGGCCCAGACUCCUACGGGAGGCAGCAGUGGGGAAUAUUGCACAAUGGGCGGAAGCCUGAUGCAGCGACGCCGCGUGAGGGAUGACGGCCUUCGGGUUGUAAACCUCUUUCAGCAGGGACGAAGCG